GUAUUAAUAUCAUUUUUACCUGUGAUCUCUUCGUACUCUGAUUCAAUUGUCACCAUAUAUUUCAACCCUUUUUACUAUCCAUUACUCACUUGCACAAUCUCUUGCUCUCUCUGUCUCUGUCUCUAUCUGUAUCUCUUUUUUUCUCAUCAUCACCGUCAUCAUCAUACUUGUUCAUCAUUACCUUUAAAACUUUCAUUUCACAUAACAGGAUAAAUUUGAAUUCAUUUUUCCACCUCAUCAUAUUAAACAAUUGAAACAAAAGACACCAUCAACAAGGAAAAAAACAACAAAGAUAAUUUUGCAACAAAGAGAUUCUUCAUCCACUCAUAUCAUCACCAUCACUUGGAUCAUCUGCAUCAUCACAAGCAGCAGCAAUAACCUCCUCAGGAAGCUCAUCAAAACUGGAACCAACAAUUUACUGUGAAAUGGAUAUCGAUUUAACUGAUCCUGAAUUGGAAAAAGCAGCAACCAAAAUACAAGCAACAUUCAAAGGGUACAAGGUUAGGAAAGAAGUUAAAGAGAAGACUCCCGAAACUGAAGAACAGCCCAAAGAAAUUCAGCGAAGUGAUUCAAUCGAUAUCGAUUUAAAUGAUCCGGAUGUUGAAAAGGCAGCAACCAGAAUUCAGGCCACUUUUCGAGGAUACAAAACACGACGGGAAGUUAAAAAAGAUUAAUCUUCAUUUAGUACAAUCUAAAGAUAAAUUGCAACGGGUUCAAUUGAUUAAAAGCUGAUAAAAGCUGUAUUUAAUUUCAACAAUAAACUGUAAAACAUCACACAUCAAGCAAAAAACUAAAACCGCGCAAUUAAACGAAAGCCAACAACAAUUAAGGCAACCAAGAAUAGAUGAUGGAUCAAGUGAAGAGUUAAUCUUAAUCAACUGCAAUAUAAAUCAAAUAAAAUGAACGGCGAGAAUAGAUUGACCAAGAAAAGGCAUAAACUUUCGUCUUCUUUUUUUGCCCAUUUUUCAUGGUAAAAUAACGAAAUGAAAAAGAGUCUUAAUGUUAGGAAUAAAGGAAAAUGUUGGAAUGAAAAAUGUUUAUAAAUACAGUUGAAAGGAAAAGUUUAAAGAAAGAAAACAUCAUUUUGUUUGGUUCCAAAUAAUCAAUGGUCCAGUAGCAAUCAACUUCCCUCCUCAUCAUGUGUCAUCUUAAUCAUCACAAGAUCAUCCAGUAAUCAUCAAUGAUCAUGUUGAUCAGUCAAGCUUAAUCACUGUCAUCAUCAUUUCUGGCAGCCAAACUUUAAAACCUCUUUUACAUUAACAGAAAGCAAAGCGAAACCCAAAAAAGCAAAAACCCAAAAAACCAGAUUUCCAUUUUAAAAUCAUUUCAAUCUUCAAUUUUUCCCUAUUUUAAGACACAAUUUGUUUCCAUCUCUACCUUAAUUCAAUAGCUAGUUAAUUGUUUAAAGUCAAUUUUCCUUUUCUUUUCCAACAACAGUUAAAGUUGUUCAUUUAUUUAUUUCCAAUCAAGGUAAACCAUUCAAGCUAAUUCAUCUAUUAUUGCCAUUUAUUAACAUUUUAUCGUCUUGUUUAAUUAGUCGACAUUUUAUGGAAAUUAAAAAUUAGGUAAAAAUGAUUUAAUAAUAAACAAAUUGAACAACUUCAGGCAAACACCUUCAACCCUAAAAGGCUACCAUUUAUUGAUAUUGAAAAACUGUCUCAACUCUUCAAUCGUCACCAAGAAAAGCCUUCAAUUUAACCUUUUCAUUGAUUCAUUCACACAAUUUUGGCUUUUAUUAGCAAUUUAGACAGUUAAUCAAUUUGAAUCUGCUUUUCAAUUAAACCCUUUCAAUCGAUAAAUUGUAAUGUAAAAGGAGAACCAGAAUUGAAACCAGAUUUCUGGUUUCACCAACUAAUGGGACAAACAGCACAAAAAUGGGAAACAACUUUUUACUCUUUUAAUAAUUCAUUUGAUCCC